rnacentral:rRNA from 1 species
UACAGAGGGUGCAAGCGUUGUUCGGAAUUAUUGGGCGUAAAGGGCUCGUAGGCGGCCAACUAAGUCAGACGUGAAAUCCCCAGGCUCAACCUGGGAACUGCGUCUGAUACUGGAUGGCUUGAAUCCGGGAGAGGGAUGCAGAAUUCCAGGUGUAGCGGUGAAAUGCGUAGAUAUCUGGAGGAAUACCGGUGGCGAAGGCGGCAUCCUGGACCGGCAUUGACGCUGAGGAGCGAAAGCCAGGGGAGCAAACGGG